ensembl:lncRNA
GUGUGUGGGGGGGGGGGGGGGGGGGGGUGUUGGUUUAGGGCCCGGAUGGCUUGAGGAUAAAAGCUCUUCUUGAGUCUCUCUGUCCUUGCCCGGAUGAUGCGGAACCUUCUACCAGAUUGUAGAAGUUGGAACAGUUUGUUGCCAGGAUGGGACGGGUCCUUCAGUAUCUGCGUUGCUCUAGUCCGGCAUCUCCUGGUGUAGUGUCCUGAAGUGGGGGGAGAGCAAUCCUGCAGCAGCGUUCUGCUGUACAGAUCACUGCUGUACGGAUUGGUGCCAAUUGGUAAUUGGUGCCUGCCGCCGUAGGUUGGAGGAGCCACAACAGUCAGUGAACAUUUAAACGCCACCUGGUCGCGACAGAUGGCCACCCCUUCCUGGGCCCGGUUCUGUCAGAGGUUUCCUCCCAUUAAAGGGGGAUUUUCCCUUCCCGCUGUCGCCAAGUGCUUGCUCAUAGGGGAUUUGGGGGCUUUUAAAAAAAAAAGUUCACUGGCAUCAAAUUUAGGACUCAGCAAAUAUGUAAAUGGAUGAUUCCUCAUCAAAUGAGGAAUCAUCCAUUUAAAACAUUUGCGAGUCACAUUUAGUUGUGUAUAUAAUUAUGAUUUCUUAAGAUUUCAAUUAAGUUUUAAAAAAAAGAAUAUUGGAAAAAACAUGUCUCAUUAUUUCAUAUAAUUUCAAAUAACAUACCAUGUGAUGUCAACAUAUAUUUGUUACAUUUGCAGUGCUCGUGGUCUUAUAUUCUUAUGAUUCUGUUCAUUUUAUGAGUAUAUCCUUCUGCCUUGCUUCACAUAUUUACUGCUGCUUGGCUAGCUUUAGUCAUGCCAGCAUCAGCACAGAAACAGGUAUCCAUCAGAGAUAUCACAUGUAGCUUGUGUUUAUGUUCAGAGUAUUACAGUCCUGGGCCGGUGGCCCAGUGUCUUGAUUUUGUAUUGUUGUUUGUUAGUCUGUUUUUUCUUUUGGUUCAUGGUUUAUGACUACUGGUGUCACGGACCCAGCUCUGGAGGACUCGGGGUCUGUGAGCAGUGUGGACUGUUAUUAUUAUUAUUAUUAUUAUUAUUAUUAUUAUCAUUAUUACUAUUAUCAUUUGGUGUAUGUGUGUGCACUGUUCCGCUGUCUGGGGGUUUUGUUCUAUGUGUCUAUGUAUAGGGGGGGUGUGUGUGUGUGUGUGUGUGUGUGUGUGUGUGUGUGUGCGUGCGUGCGUGUGGCUGUGGCCAGGAGGCCGGGCUACAGGCACCGUCAGGCCUGUGGAUGACUGGCCGCGCCCAAGGAGGAUGCCACACACCUGCAGCGGAUCAGCAUCGGCGGAGGGAGCUACUUAAUGGUGUGGUGAAGCGUCCACCGACGCGGGAUCAUUGCGUGAGACUCCACGAGAAGUGUGGAGCACCAGACAGCAGCCAGCACGAGGAGUGCUGGGACACGGGAGCGGAGAGCACAAAGCCACGGACUCUUUAGGGAAAGACACCACACGGGAGUGAAGGGAGAGCACGGGGAUUUAUUGUUAUUUUCCACUUUAGUAUUUCGAAGAAAACAUUAUGGACGUGUAAUUUUAUUAAUAAUUUCUAGACAAAAACAAUGAAAACACUGUAAAGAAAAUAACGCUUGAAGAUCGAGUGUAUUCUUUAGUUAGAAAUGAAACACACACACACACACACACACACACACACACACACACACACACACACACACACACACACACACUGUGUAUAGCAGCUGACCUAUCGGAUGUGAUACUAACACAUUAUUUACCGUCAGAUGAUCCUGGCAACUCAACCGUUGUUC